UACGGAGGUGGCAAGCGUUGUUCGGAAUUACUGGGCGUAAAGGGCGCGUAGGCGGUCAGGUAAGUCCCGUGUGAAAUCCCUCGGCUCAACUGAGGAACUGCACGGGAAACUGCCUGGCUCGAGUUCGGGAGAGGGAAGCGGAAUUCCGGGUGUAGCGGUGAAAUGCGUAGAUAUCCGGAGGAACACCGGUGGCGAAGGCGGCUUCCUGGACCGACACUGACGCUGAGGCGCGAAAGCGUGGGGAGCAAACAGG
rnacentral:rRNA from 1 species